UUGCUGAAGAUGCUAGGAGUUUGGGGAAAAAAGGAAGUGCAAGCACAUUUCACAAAUCCACAAUCUGUAAGUAUCACAUCCUGUGUGGCUAUAAACUCUGGACUGAGGAAGGGCUGGUGAUUUUCAAAAGGUGAAGACUAGUAGAAAAUUCUACAGGACUGUGUGAGAACCGAGAGUCUCCUGGGAGUUUGAGAGACCUCAGCUGCAACCAACAGGCUGGUCCACGGGCACAGGGUUCGUGACACAAUCAUGCUAUCACGGUCCAUGACCAAUGAGGCCAUUGCAGUUCUGACACCAAAUGGCAUCAGCUUCCCCCAAACAGGGGAAACUAAACCCACCAACCAGAGGCAAUACAACCUCAAGAAACAACUAAAGACAGAGGUCAAAGUUCUUGGGGCUAUUCAGAUCCUGUGCGGGGUGAUGGUGUUGAGUUUGGGGAUCAUUUUGGUAUCUGUUCCGUCCUCUCCAUCCUUUACCCCGGUGUUUUCCACCCUUUUGAAGUCUGCUUACCCAUUCAUGGGAGGCUUGUGUUUUAUCAUUUCUGGAACUCUGUCAGUCAUCAUGGAGAAAAAGUCAACUAAGCCUUUGGUUCAGAGCAGCGUGGUUGCAAACAUUCUGAGCUCUCUAUGUGCUCUGGUGGGUUUCAUUCUCCUCUCUGUCACGUUGGAUGCUGUGGAUCCUGCCUUUCGGAAGUGUACCUUCAACAAAGAGCAAAGAAAACCUGAAUGGACUACAUUUAGCUAUUUUAUUAACCCAUAUAUGGACAAACAAUGCAUCACGGCCAAAACCACUCUGACUGGAACUCUGUCUGUGAUGCUGAUUUACACGGUGCUGGAGUUCUGCCUGGCUGUGCUCUCUGCCGUGAUUUGGUGGAAACAGGCUCACUCUGACUUCCCUGGGCGUGUGCUUUUCCUGCCUCAGAGUUGCAAGAAUAAAUCCAGCACACCCUCAAAGGCAUUUCAUGACCCUGGAUACGAAGAACUAGUAACUUCUUAGGGGAAAUAGUCAUCAGAAAUUUGGCUUUAUGAUACUGUAUGAAGACCAGCCAGAGAAACUCAAGAAAGUAAAGUUUGAGUUCCCUGAAAUGUAGCAUUUAGGGGCCAGGGGGGUGGACUGAAAGUUCCAAUCCUCUCAUCAAUCAUAAGAGGGGCCAAGGGCAGGGGCAACUCCAUGAAAGAUAUGAAACACAAGGUUGCAAACCAGAACAGCUUGCUACUUAAAACCCACCGGCAGCCUGGGAUAGACAUCAAGCUGAAGAAAUAGAAACUCGGAGAACGUACCUGAACUGUCCAAAGCCACCGAGCAAGUAACAGGAAGUCGCGAUUCGCGCAAGGGUGUGCCUGACCUGAAGGUAUGCAUUCUUCCAGUCCAAUCCACAGCUUUUUUUUUGCAGAUAUGUGAGAAACAACGGAGGCGUCCGCUCUACAGUGGUGAACAUCUUGGGUUUCUAGAAAGUAAUGAGUGAUGUCGUUGCUACUGAGGGGACUGCUGAGGGCAUUUCAACAAAUGAAAUUCAAAGUGCGCAGGUCGAACGAGCAGACGCACCCGAUUUAGCUCAACGUCUACACAGCAAGCUGCGUGAUUUCCUUAAAAAGAAUCUGCAAUCCCUGGGUGUAAGUUACCUUUAGCCCUGUAGACGUUAGGAGGUGAGUAUGGAAAAUUAAAUGGUCUACAACUUUAUUGGGGGUGAAUUAUUUUAUGCCAGCUCAUAAGACUGGGUAAAAAGUGGGUAAGAAAAUAUAUCUGGGAGUACACUUAGGUCAGAUGUUUUGCUUUGAAGGUGUUUCAGGCUCCCAGAGUUCAAAUGGGAUGUUGUGCCCAAAUAUAAUAUCCCCAUGACGUAAUAUCCAUCCACAGGGCCUGGGAAACCAACACCAUUUUUUUUUUUUUUUUUUUUGGAUUUCACUCUUCCGAGGAUUAUUUUUAAGACCCAGUGAAGGUGGAAAAGAUAAAAUGCGAUUCGUAUGUGGCCUUGAGAUCGAGGGAGGAAAGUCUGUAAUGUAGAGAGUUUUUCCACUUCCCCCCUGUAUUCUAUUUUUGUUUCUCCAGGUAGCUCAGAUAAUGAUUGGCCUGAAAUGUUUCUUUUUUGGGAUCACUGAGAUUUUUCUUUACUGGCACUCUGACUUAAGGAAUCUUUUAUUCUGCUUUUAUAUUGGUUACCCGUUCUGGGCUGCAGCAUCUUUCAUCAUGUCUGGAUCUUUGACCAUCUCAUGUGCAAGAAAACAAACAAAAUUUCUGAUCGAAGUCAGUAUUGGAGCUAACAUUAUCAGCACACUACUUUCAAGCAGUGGGAUAAUUCUUCUCUCCGUGAAUUUAGUUGACAUAGUCUUACUUGAAUGCUGGGAGUUACCGGCGUGUUCGUUGGUUAAAUCUUUCAUAACUAAUAUUGUGAUCCUUCAAAUGAUACUGACUUGUGUGCAGAUUUUUAUUUCGUUCUCACUCUGUGGGCUCACUUAUACCGUGGAUGGCAAGGAGAUCAGCUGGGCUUCUGCACUAAGUUGCUUGAUCAGAUCACAUUCUGAAGAUCCUUAUCAAGACUUACUGACUCAACCUGAAACUUACGAAGAUUUAGUGCUUCAAGACAUAGACCAGGUUCACUCUCAUCCAUGAGACACCAUCGAAACAUUUCUUACCACACCAGGGCAUCUUGGAUCCAUGAUGGCAACCAAAGACAGAUCUGAUAGGAAUCUUCUACAAAUCCCCUGCUCCCCAUGUCUUUUAUUAUGCACUUUCACAUACACAGACACAAUUAGCACGGAUAUGUGCUUAAUUUCACAGGUGACCAGCACAUACUAAUAUUAGCAUUCCGUGGCCUAUUAGACCUCUUUUCAUUGGGACGGGAUUACCAUUUUUGAGCCAAUUUCAGUUCUUAGGCCUCAGAGAGGAAUUUGUUGUUACCCACUUACUCCUUCCUAGAAACUGUACUUCCCUCUGGGUUGACAGUUUAUUCAAAUGAAAAAUCUUUGUGCAAAUAGUUUGGGUGAGUAGUGGCAUACCAUCUGACACUGGGUCCAAUCUAAGUUUCUUUGACUGUUGAAUGUACUAGGUCUCCCUUGCUUGUGUCAAGGUGAACUUGACAAAAUGUAAUGCGAUACAAAAUGCACACUCUAAUGUAUGGCACAUAGUAAAAAUCUAAUGCAACCUCA